rnacentral:tRNA from 1 species
GGGGUUGUGGCUCAGUGGUAGAGUGCUUGCCUAGCACGUGUGAAGCACUGGGUUCGAUCCUCAGCACCUCA